rnacentral:tRNA from 1 species
UGACUCGGUAGCUCAGUUGGCAGAGCACGACACUCUUAAUGUUGGGGUCGUGGGUUCGAGGCCCACCCGGGUCACUAU